UACGGAGGGUGCAAGCGUUAAUCGGAAUUACUGGGCGUAAAGGGCGCGUAGGCGGCUUGCCAAGCCGGAUGUGAAAGCCCCGGGCUCAACCCGGGAACGGCAUUCGGAACUGGCAGGCUAGAGUGCAGGAGAGGAAGGUGGAAUUCCCGGUGUAGCGGUGAAAUGCGUAGAGAUCGGGAGGAAUACCAGUGGCGAAGGCGGCCUUCUGGACUGACACUGACGCUGAGGCGCGAAAGCGUGGGUAGCAAAC
rnacentral:rRNA from 1 species